CUAACUCCGUGCCAGCAGCCGCGGUAAUACGGAGGAUCCAAGCGUUAUCCGGAUUCAUUGGGUUUAAAGGGUGCGUAGGCGGCUUCUUAAGUCAGUGGUGAAAUCCUGCCGCUUAACGGUAGAAUUGCCAUUGAUACUGAAGAGCUUGAGUCCAGUUGAGGUAAGCGGAAUGUGUAGUGUAGCGGUGAAAUGCUUAGAUAUUACACAGAACACCAAUUGCGAAGGCAGCUUACUAAACUGUCACUGACGCUGAUGCACGAAAGCGUGGGGAGCGAACAGGAUUAGAUACCCUGGUAGUCCACGCCGUAAACGAUGUUCACUCGCUGUUUGCGAUACACAGCAAGCGGCCAAGCGAAAGCAUUAAGUGAACCACCUGGGGAGUACGAUCGCAAGGUUGAAACUCAAAGGAAUUGACGGGGGCCCGCACAAGCGGAGGAACAUGUGGUUUAAUUCGAUGAUACGCGAGGAACCUUACCUGGGCUUAAAUGUAGAGCGACAGAUUGUGAAAGCAGUCCUUCUUCGGACGAUCUACAAGGUGCUGCAUGGUUGUCGUCAGCUCGUGCCGUGAGGUGUC
rnacentral:rRNA from 1 species